rnacentral:rRNA from 1 species
UACUAAAGUUGUUGCGGUUAAAAAGCUCGUAGUUGAAAUUGUGUCCUGCGGCGUCGGUCCAUCGAUUGCGGUGCGACAGGCGCGUCUGCGGGGCUUCUCGCCGGUGCGUGUCCACCGCCGGCGCGUCGCCGUCGUCUCCCAGUGGGGCGGCGGUCGGCGCUGAGGCGGGCCCUCGCGGCUGUUUACUUUGAACAAAUUAGAGUGCUCAAAGCGGGCUAAUAUUUGCCUGAAUAUUGUGUGCAUGGAAUAAUAGAAUAGGACCUCGGUUCUGUUUUGUUGGCUUUCUGAUACCAGAGGUAAUGAUUAAUAGGGACAACUGGGGGCAUUCGUAUUGCGACGUUAGAGGUGAAAUUCUUGGAUCGUCGCAAGACGGACUAAAGCGAAAGCAUUUGCCAAAGGUGUUUUCAUUAAUCAAGAACGAAAGUUAGAGGUUCGAAGGCGAUUAGAUACCGCUGUAGUUCUAACCAUAAAUGAUGCCAGCCAGCGAUCCGCCGAAGUUUUUUUAUUUGAUUCGGUGGGCAGCUCCCGGGAAACCGAAGCUUUC